ensembl:miRNA
AGAGGCAGCAAGAAAAAUGAGGGACUUUCAGGGGCAGCUGUGUUUUACUAACCCAGUCAUAAUGCCCCUAAAAAUCCUUAUUGUUCUUGCAAUGUUCA